rnacentral:rRNA from 1 species
AAGGCUGAGCUGUGAUGGGGAGGGAAAAUUAGAGUACCGAAGGUCAUGUGUUCCCGCUGCCGAGAAAAGCCUCUAGCCAGGUGAAGGUGCCCGUACCGCAAACCGACACAGGUAGGCGAGCAGAGCAUGCUAAGGCGCGCGGAAGAACUCUCGUUAAGGAACUCGGCAAAAUGACCCCGUAACUUCGGGAGAAGGGGUGCCUCGGUAGGGUGAAUAGCCCGAGGGGGCCGCAGUGAAAAGGCCCAAGCGACUGUUUAGCAAAAACACAGGUCUGUGCGAAGCCGUAAGGCGAAGUAUACGGGCUGACGCCUGCCCGGUGCUGGAAGGUUAAGGGGAGCGGUUAGGGAGCAAUCCCGAAGCUGUGAACCGAAGCCCCAGUAAACGGCGGCCGUAACUAUAACGGUCCUAAGGUAGCGAAAUUCCUUGUCAGGUAAAUUCUGACCCGCACGAAUGGCGUAACGACUUGGGCGCUGUCUCAACGAGAGAUCCGGUGAAAUUUUAAUACCUGUGAAGAUGCAGGUUACCCGCGACAAGACGGAAAGACCCCAUGGAGCUUUACUGCAGCUUGAUAUUGGACUUUGGUACGAUCUGUACAGGAUAGGUGGGAGCCUAGGAAGCCGGAGCGCCAGCUUCGGUGGAGGCACCGUUGGGAUACCACCCUGAUCGUAUCGGAGUUCUAACCUGCCACCCUGAAUCGGGUGGAGGGACCGUGUCAGGCGGGCAGUUUGACUGGGGCGGUCGCCUCCUAAAAAGUAACGGAGGCGCCCAAAGGUUCCCUCAGAAUGGUUGGAAAUCAUUCGUAGCGUGCAAAGGCAUAAGGGAGCUUGACUGCGAGACCUACAAGUCGAGCAGGGACGAAAGUCGGGCUUAGUGAUCCGGUGGUACCGCAUGGAAGGGCCAUCGCUCAACGGAUAAAAGCUACCCUGGGGAUAACAGGCUUAUCUCCCCCAAGAGUCCACAUCGACGGGGAGGUUUGGCACCUCGAUGUCGGCUCAUCGCAUCCUGGGGCUGAAGUAGGUCCCAAGGGUUGGGCUGUUCGCCCAUUAAAGCGGUACGCGAGCUGGGUUCAGAACGUCGUGAGACAGUUCGGUCCCUAUCUGUCGUGGGCGUAGGAAAUUUGAGAGGAGCUGUCCUUAGUACGAGAGGACCGGGAUGGACGUACCGCUGGUGUACCAGUUGUUCCGCCAGGAGCACCGCUGGGUAGCUACGUACGGACGGGAUAAGCGCUGAAAGCAUCUAAGCGCGAAGCCCCCCUCAAGAUGAGAUUUCCCAGUAUGUAAGACCCCUGGAAGACGACCAGGUUGAUAGGUUCGAGGUGGAAGUGCAGCAAUGCAUGCAGCUGACGAAUACUAAUCGGUCGAGGGCUUAUCCUA